CCCUAUGGGGUGCCGCAGGACAUGGUUGAGAACCGUGCCAAGCCCGUAUUUUUUCUGACCACCCGAUUCAGCGGCGACUUCAACGGCCUCGGAGAUGGCAAUCCCCAGCGAACCAGGAUGGUUCGGGUCUUUUUCCAGGUAGGACUGGCCAAUUUUCGUAUGGGCCGAAGGGCUUGGGAAGAUUUGCGCGCCAUAGGUUUGCAUGAUGAUGCGGCGGUAAGGCUUGGCCAGGUACGAGGAAUUGACCAUGUACACUUCCACGCUAAUGUCG
rnacentral:rRNA from 1 species